GGGUCUGUUUGUUGACUGAGAAAGAGAUGAGAAAAGGGAAUAUUCCUGAAUGAUUCUUCAUUUUCUGUGUUUUUUUGUUGGUAAAUAGUGUUUUGGGAUAAAAAACGAGAGGGAUGCAGGAUCCCAAAAUGAAGUGAGCAGGACCGCACCAAAACAGUGCGACCACAGUGGGAAAAGAAAAAGCUAAGAAAAUUUAGCGGGCUUUGUUAGAGCAAGAAGCAUAUCUCCGGCAGCUUCUCUGUCCAUCUCUCUGAAAGCCUUGAGGAGAGAUUUACGAAGAAUCCAAGUUUCUCACUCUCAUCGGGUAUAGGAUACAAAAGGAGCCAGUUUUCCUCCUAGGUGAAGAAGCUUCCACUUCCGCUCCAGCUUUGGACAACGCUUUCUGUCUGUAGUAAGAAAAUUUUGACAUUGAAGUUUUCCUCUUUUCAAUUUUCUUUUGCAAAACAAAAUUCAUAAAUCAUCUUUUGAAAACAUGAACUGCAUUUGUUUUGUCUUGAAUAAAGUGCUCAUGAUGGGGUUAUUCUAGUUCCAAAAAAAUGUGUUAUGUAUAAGACACCAGAUGACAUGCAACCUCAGCUUUUGCUUUCUCUGUGAAGCACUCCCCUUUCCGUUUCUCCCCUUCACUGUAUCACUUACCAUUAGCCACCUCUGCUCCUCUUGAUCUCUGAAAAAAUGGCCUCAGGUAUAGCCUCAUUUAUCAGAAAACACACAGAUAUAAGUUCAAGAAAGCUGUGGGAAAACAUGGGUUGAUACAAAAACAAAAACAAAAAUACUGGUUGUUACAGUUUGGAUUAUUUCUCCUCUCUUAUUUCAAUUGUUAUUUUCUUUUGUAAUGCAGUGUUAUACUGUGUGGUGUGAUACAGGGCCUUGUUCUUCCUUCAAUAGACAUUUUUUAUGUUUAUAUUUCUACAUAAUUUUAGUGCUUAUUAUGUUUUCUUGGAUCUUAACCUGUAAGCAUAAGUUUACCCAUCAAAACAACACACACACACAAAGAAGAUAAAGAUCUUAGUAAAGCUUUUAGAGCUUCAGAUUUUUAUGGGGGCUACAGAAAAAUUAGUUUCAGAAGAGCAGAUGAAGUGAUUCAGAAAGUAUAAAUGUCAAUGUUGAUAUGCCUGUCCCUCCUGAUCCAGUUAUCCUCAACCUGUGGUGGUGUUCUCCAAAAUUACACUGUUCCAAUGAUCUAUUGGGGUUACUCUCCCUGAAAAUGAAAGCAAAGUCUUGCUCUCUAAUCUGUCCUCCCCGUGGAAAGCUGGAAACUCCCUUCUUUCUCACACAAAAAUGUUAAAUAUAGCUCAUGAACAAAAAUACCAUACAUGAAUUCUGAAAUGAGACUCAUUCUUUAUCAUGCAUAUGAGUAUGCAUGCAUCAUUAUGAUGAUUUGGCUAUCAAAAAAGAAAAAAAAAAGUGUAAUGUGUGCUUUCAUGUAGCUUUGAUUAAUAACAGUGAAGGAAGUAAAGGAAAAGGACAAACAGGUCACUUACAUUUACAAGCUUAAUAAUAUUCGAGUCAAUGCCUUGAUAUCAUUAGUAAGCAUUUAGAUGGAUAUGGAAUUUGGGAGUUAAUGACUUCAAGAAGGGUGAGUUUUACUUGAGUUAUUAUAGCAGUUUUUUUUUCUAAUCCUAUUAGGCUCAGGCCAAGCAUGCAUCAACCAUCAAUAUGACUUCUAUUUUUAUUGACAUUAUCUGAUAUGUGAUUUGUGAGCUUAUUUUCUUAGUUGGAGGCUACCCAUGCAGCGCCUUACAUGUAUUAGACAGCAGAUGACAUUCUAAACAAUUUGUAGUUGAGUUUCUUUUAAACACUUGUACAAGUCUACAUGAGAUAAAUAUAUACUUGCAACCUGAAAUCAAUAUUCAUAUGCAAUAAAUCCAAGAUAAUAUUACCAUAGAAAAGCCAGUGUAUGACUUUUUGGAUGAAAUAGGUUAUUUAAUGCAAAUUCUUUGAUGUACCAACAGGUCAAAUAAUGGAGCAAUUUUAUUUCCUAGUAGUUUCUUUUAUGAAUGCAAGCACAUGUUUUUUAUGGAUAAAUACAUUGAAUAGACCUAUGAACAAAUUCUAUGAUGAAUGAGCAAGUCCAAAUAAUGAAGCAUUUCUUACUCUUAGUAAAAUUUUUUCUAUGAUGAAUGAGCAAGUCCAAAUAAUGAAGCAUUUCUUACUCUUAGUAAAAUUUUUGAAUGAGCAAGUUUAAUAAUACUAUCAUGCCACAUGGCAAGUUUAAUCGCACGUGUCAUACAUUUGAGUGAUGCAAGUUGUCAUAGAAGUAAAUUAUAUGCAUUUUUAUAAUUGAACAUGAUUUUUCUCAUAUAAAUUUUUUUGCAAAACAAACACUGGAAAGUGGAUUUUCUCACAAAAAAUUUAUCAGUAAACAAACGCAUUACAUCUAAAUGAGAAAAUAAUUUUUCCUCUUCUCAUCCCAACCUUUCUCAUCCCAUCCUUUCUCAGCCCAAUUUUCCCAGCAAUCAAACAGACCCUUAGUGUUAGUGAAAGAAUUUCUCUUUUCAAUGUAUUAGAGAAUUCUACCAGAAAAAAAAUGUAUUGGAGAAGAAAACUGUAUUAGAGGUCCAUGCCACCAUGUGGCUUAGAAUGGACGUUAAAGAAAUUUGUCGAUGACCCGAAUGUUGGGAUCAAUGGCCUUAUCUAAGAGGGGCCGAAUUGUGUUGAAUUCUAAAAAAGAAAUAUUUGAAUUCAAAUUUGAAUUCUUUGAUUAUGAAUCAAUGGAGUUCAAAACCCUUUUCACUGAAACUAAGCCCUCUUGAUAAUAAAAUCAAGAUGUAAUAGAAUAGAAGCUUAAUCAAUUUAGUUCAGUAGUUAAUCAGGUGGUUACUUUUUUAUUAACACAACUGUUGAACAAAAAAUCUACAGCUACCAAAACAAACAAGCAAUAUGAUCACAUGAGCGACAAGGGUUAGCAAUCAACAAAUACAAACAAUAAUAUAAUGGAGACUGCUAACAAGAUGAUAGCGGGUAAUGAUAAAUGAAAACAAUAUAAAUCUACAACCUACUAUUCAGUCAAGUGGUUCUAUAAUUAAUUUAGAGGACUUGUUAUAAUAUGAUGCAUGAGACGAGAACUAGCUAUCCAAGUAUAAUUAACUUAAGAUUUUGAUGGUGCUCAGAUCGCCUAUGCUCCUGUUAGAUGACAGCUCGGACAAAGAGAUGUUGAGGUCAGGAGACGAUCUGCAAGACAGAUGAAGUCAGAGUACCUGAGAGUUUGGACCCAAGCUGGGCACUACAAAGCUUAAGUUAGUAGAACUGAUGUUCACCCAAAACCAGGGCUAGGCACUACUUAGGAAUGGUAAGGUUCCCAUAAGGAACUUCAACCACCUGAUGUCCACCCAAAACCAGGUCAGAGUUUGGUCCACAGAGUUAAUAGUCAAGGACAUCCUUGAGCUCAUAGCUCGGUAUAGGAUUUACACUUCACCCCCAAGUAUCCUUAGGAACAUGAAAAGGGGGAAGUCUGUGUCUUCAAGGAGGCUUUGAAGGCUAGAUUCAAAUUUACUCUUCACCCCUUCAUUCCCGAGGUCUUAAACUAUUAUGAUAUCUCCUUUGCUCAGCUUCAUCUGAAAUCCAUCAGGACCAUGGUCGGCAACAUCUCCUUUUGUCAUGACGUCAAUUUCCCCUUGACCAUCUAAAACUUUGUUGGCCUCUGCUAGUUGAAGAGGAACCCCAACAAAAAAUAUAGUUAUUACCUGUCCUACCACUCCAACUAUAAGUUGUUAGGUGGUUUCCCUUCCAUGGUGUCGACCUUGAAGAGGAAAUACUUCUUCCUAGAAUGUGACAGCGGGUGGCCCUUCACCUCAGAGUGGAAGAUGGACCUUAGGGAUGUUGGUGAGGAAACCUUGAGUGAGCAUUUGCAGCUGAGGGUACAGGUCCUGGUCAACAGGUCGUGGUACUUUUCUUGUUAAUUUUGCACUUUGGUAAUUCAGCUCAGUUCAAUUUACUUGUGUAGGAGACAUGUCGGGAGUACCAACCUCGAGGCUCUUCCAGGCCAUGAAAAAAAAGAAGAGGAAGAUAGUCCCCAAUGAGACUCCUCAGGUUACAACCAAUGAGUAGGUCAAGCAAGUUGUUGCCGAGGUCAUUAACAUCAUCGAGGAUGAAUAGCAAGAGGCCGCCACUAUGGAAUCUAGCAGCGUCCGAGCUCCUAAGGAGAGUCACCCACCUCCUAAAGUCGAGGAAACCAACACUUUGGAGGCUAGCUCUAGGGCAUGGCACUCAAAUGAUCCUAGACCCAAUGACAACGCUGGAAAUGAGUAAGGCUGCUAUCAUCCCAGAGGAGGUGGAGACAUAGGCUACGUGGAGGCUUGCUUAGGUCGGUGACAGGAUACAUCACCACCUCAUUGUGGCGAACUCCUUAGCACACACAUUGAUGGGUUAGGUCAAGUAAGGUUACUAUAGCGCGAGGCCUUGACGAAGGACCUGGAGGAGUCCCGAGGUUGCUUGGAAUGGGCCUCCACACUUGUCUUUGAGCUGAAACACGACUUGGAAGAGGAGAAGGUGAAGGCGACCUUGCUAGUGAAGAAGGUUGUUAAGAAGGCCACUAAGCCAAAGCAAAAGGAGACUGAGCUCACAGAGCGAAGGUUGAAGUUCUCCAAGGAGAUCUGUGCCACGAAGGCCAAAGGCGUUGCUGAGUACCAUGCCUCUCAAGAAUUUCAUAAAGAGAUGGUGGACUUUGGUGCUAGUGCAUUCCGUCAAGUCUUCAAGCCGUGUCAUAUGCUUGUAGCAACUCUAAGCCUAGAGUUUGACCUGGAAAAGUUGAGGAGCUCGGCCUGCAGUGCCGAGAUGAUGGGCCAAGUUAACCAGAACCCGAUUCCAAGGAGGAAGAAGGAGAAGACAACGUAGACAAAGAAGCUGUUGACAUCGAGGAGAUACAGACCGGGGGUGAUGAUGUGCUUUGAAAUGAUGAAUGAUCAUUGUCUCUUUUCUUGAACCCCCGUACAUACAUCAUGUAUCCUGAGCCUUCGAGCUCAAUUUUCUACUUUGUUGUUUUUGUUCUUUCUUCUUCUUCCUUUUUUAUAAUAGUGAUGUACCUUCUCUUUUUUCACUAAGUUGUGAAAGUUUGCCUUCUACCCCAUGUGCCAAAGUGUUUUCCUUUCUUGCACCUUUACAUUUCCUAAGUUGGUAAAACAUUCUAUAAAUUUAGGGCCGACACCUUGAUCUAGAUUGGAAUAACAACCUCUAUCCCAAAUGUCAGGUUGAAUGGCGUUUCGCCAGUGGUCGUUAUACUCGUUGUACAAUAUGCCCAGAGAACUCUAUGGAGCUCAUCAACCUAUAGACCCUUGUCUCAGGAGAGUUAGGCCUCCAAGCUCGCAAGAUGGCCCUAUUUACUACCUUGGCUUGCCCAUUUUCCUAGAGGUGCACGACCGACAUGAAAUUCUGUUUAAUCCCCAUCUUGUCACACCAAUCCUAAAACCUGGUGUCUUCAAACUGCUUCUCAUUGUUCGAUAUCAGCACCUAAGGUAGUUUGUAUUGACAUAUGAUACUCUUGCAAAAGUUUUGUACAUUUCAAGCCAUGAUGGUCACUAGUGGCUCGACCUCCACCCACUUAGUGAAGUAUUCCAUUGCCAUGACCAAGUACCUCCUCUGCCUAGUUGCCGAGGGAAGGGUCCAAGAAUGCUUAUCCCCCACUAGGCAAAUGGCCAUGGGCUGGUGAGGUACUGCAUGUCGGUUGUGGGCUGUUGAGGUAUGUUGGUGUGCCUCUAGCACCUAUCACAGCGCUGCACGAACUAGACCACUUUGGUCUUCAUGGUUGGCCAAAAGUAGCCUUGUUGGAGGGCUUUAUGAACUAGCAUCC